UACGUAGGCAGCGAGCGUUGUUCGGAUUUACUGGGCGUAAAGGGUGUGUAGGCGGUUGGUUAAGUUUGGUGUGAAAUCUCCCGGCUCAACUGGGAGGGUGCGCCGAAUACUGAAUGACUUCGAGUGCGGGAGAGGAGAGUGGAAUUCCUGGUGUAGCGGUGAAAUGCGUAGAUAUCAGGAGGAACACCGGUGGUGUAGACGGCUCUCUGGACCGUAACUGACGCUGAGACACGAAAGCGUGGGUAGCAAACAGG
rnacentral:rRNA from 1 species